UACAGAGGUCUCAAGCGUUGUUCGGAUUCAUUGGGCGUAAAGGGCGCGUAGGCGGCGGGGUCAGUCGGGUGUGAAAUCUUGGGGCUUAACCCCGAAACGGCACUCGAAACUGCCCGGCUGGAGGGCCGGAGAGGAGAUCGGAAUUCACGGUGUAGCAGUGAAAUGCGUAGAGAUCGUGAGGAAGACCCGUGGCGAAGGCGGGUCUCUGGACAGUUCCUGACACUGAGACACGAAGGCCAGGGGAGCAAACGGG
rnacentral:rRNA from 1 species